AAAGGUUCGUUCGGGUUUUUCUGUGCAGCCUACAGAAAAAAACCAAAUGAAAGUUUUG
rnacentral:pre_miRNA from 1 species